AACGAACGCUGGCGGCAUGCCUAACACAUGCAAGUCGAACGAGACCUUCGGGUCUAGUGGCGCACGGGUGCGUAACGCGUGGGAACCUGCCCUUAGGUUCGGAAUAACUCCCCGAAAGGGGUGCUAAUACCGGAUAAUGUCUUCGGACCAAAGAUUUAUCGCCUUUGGAUGGGCCCGCGUUGGAUUAGCUAGUUGGUAGGGUAAAAGCCUACCAAGGCGACGAUCCAUAGCUGAUCUGAGAGGAUGAUCAGCCACACUGGGACUGAGACACGGCCCAGACUCCUACGGGAAGCAGCAGUGGGGAAUAUUGGACAAUGGGCGAAAGCCUGAUCCAGCAAUGCCGCGUGAGUGAUGAAGGCCUUAGGGUUGUAAAGCUCUUUUACCCGGGAUGAUAAUGACAGUACCGGGAGAAUAAGCUCCGGCUAACUCCGUG
rnacentral:rRNA from 1 species